rnacentral:lncRNA from 1 species
GUUUUCAAACCAAGAAUUCAAACAUAUGAAAAAAGGUAUUCUCCGCCUUGGCAUAAGUCAAUGUACUACGACAACCGAAGUCAAAGAAACAUAACUUUCUUGCACUUCUACGUAACCAACCCCCUGCUACUUUGUUAGCUUUAUAUAGUGACGAACCCUUUCUUUAUAAACGCAAACAUCCAGCAAAAAUUAGAAUUUAGGAGGUACUUCCGUUCUAUUUUACUAGUUUUACAUUUGCAAGUCGCUGCAAGUGCUCGUCUUAGACCCCAAAACCGCACAAGAAAUUAAUAUAUAACACGUAAAAUGAAGUGUGUCAACUCUUUUCUAGCGGCUCUAAAAGCCUUGGCAAUGAUCCUCGUUUUUGUGUGGCUUUCAAAUUCUAUGCAGGUGGAAGGGUCAAGAAACCUUAAGGAAUUGCAAUAUUCUUUGUCUUCAGUGGUAGAUAAUUUAGUGAUACAGAGAGCAUAUUCUGGGCCAAGUCAUCGUGGACGAGGUCACUAGCUUCAAGUUUAUUUCCUCUUUUAUUCCAAAUAUCCAAAACUUUUGGAUCGGAGAACAUAUAUACCAUGUAGUUGCCUGAAAUCCCAAGAGAGAGAUAGAGGCACAUAUAUAUUCAUUUCCUUGACCAAAAUUUUUGGCUGUUGCUGUUUGAUUAAUUUUUUCUUUUUGUUUCAUUCUGCGAUCUUAUAAAUUUAUAUUGUUUGUGAGUUCAAUGUAAAACAUAGAUAUUCUAAUAUAAUCUAACAGAAGUUACUUUCUCGUCUCCAA